rnacentral:rRNA from 1 species
AGUGAACGCUGGCGGUAGGCCUAACACAUGCAAGUCGAGCGGCAGCACAGUAAGAGCUUGCUCUUACGGGUGGCGAGUGGCGGACGGGUGAGGAAUACAUCGGAAUCUACUUUUUCGUGGGGGAUAACGUAGGGAAACUUACGCUAAUACCGCAUACGACCUACGGGUGAAAGCAGGGGAUCUUCGGACCUUGCGCGAUUGAAUGAGCCGAUGUCGGAUUAGCUAGUUGGCGGGGUAAAGGCCCACCAAGGCGACGAUCCGUAGCUGGUCUGAGAGGAUGAUCAGCCACACUGGACCUGAGACACGGUCCAGACUCCUACGGGAGGCAGCAGUGGGGAAUAUUGGACAAUGGGCGCAAGCCUGAUCCAGCCAUACCGCGUGGGUGAAGAAGGCCUUCGGGUUGUAAAGCCCUUUUGUUGGGAAAGAAAAGCAGCAGGUUAAUACCCCGCUGUUCUGACGGUACCCAAAGAAUAAGCACCGGCUAACUUCGUG